rnacentral:rRNA from 1 species
UACGUAGGGUGCAAGCGUUAAUCGGAAUUACUGGGCGUAAAGCGUGCGCAGGCGGUUUUGUAAGUCUGACGUGAAAUCCCCGGGCUCAACCUGGGAAUUGCGUUGGAGACUGCAAGGCUAGAAUCUGGCAGAGGGGGGUAGAAUUCCACGUGUAGCAGUGAAAUGCGUAGAGAUGUGGAGGAACGCCGAUGGCGAAGGCAGCCCCCUGGGUCAAGAUUGACGCUCAUGCACGAAAGCGUGGGGAGCAAACAGG